rnacentral:rRNA from 1 species
UACGUAGGAUGCAAGCGUUGUCCGGAAUUAUUGGGCGUAAAGAGCGCGCAGGCGGUCUAUCAAGUCAGAUGUGAAAUAUCCAGGCUUAACCUGGAGGGGUCAUUUGAAACUGGUAGACUAGAGUACAGCAGAGGAUAGUGGAAUUCCCGGUGUAGUGGUGAAAAUGCGUAGAUAUCGGGAGGAACACCGGUGGCGAAGGCGGCGUCUGGGGUCGAUACUGACGCUGAGGUGCGAAAGCGUGGGGGAGCAAACAGG